UGGGGAAUUUUGGACAAUGGGCGAAAGCCUGAUCCAGCAAUGCCGCGUGUGUGAAGAAGGCCCUCGGGUUGUAAAGCACUUUUGUCCGGAAAGAAAUCCUUGGCUCUAAUACAGUCGGGGGAUGACGGUACCGGAAGAAUAAGCACCGGCUAACUACGUGCCAGCAGCCGCGGUAAUACGUAGGGUGCAAGCGUUAAUCGGAAUUACUGGGCGUAAAGCGUGCGCAGGCGGUUUGCUAAGACCGAUGUGAAAUCCCCGGGCUCAACCUGGGAACUGCAUUGGUGACUGGCAGGCUAGAGUAUGGCAGAGGGGGGUAGAAUUCCACGUGUAGCAGUGAAAUGCGUAGAGAUGUGGAGGAAUACCGAUGGCGAAGGCAGCCCCCUGGGCCAAUACUGACGCUCAUGCACGAAAGCGUGGGGAGCAAACAGGAUUAGAUACCCCGGUAGUCCACGCCCUAAACGAUGUCAACUAGUUGUUGGGGAUUCAUUUCCUUAGUAACGUAGCUAACGCGUGAAGUUGACCGCCUGGGGAGUACGGUCGCAAGAUUAAAACUCAAAUGAAUUGACGGGGUCAUAGCUGUUUCCU
rnacentral:rRNA from 1 species